rfam:Schistosoma rodhaini strain Burundi genome assembly, scaffold: SROB_scaffold0000261
AUCCAGCUGACGAGUCCUAAAUGGGAUGGGACGCGUGUCCUGGAU